AUAAACAUAAAGUCAAAGUAGAGUCCUCCCGCUGUAGGGGACGGGGCAUGAGAAAAUUGACCUCGCAAGACAGGAAAAACAUCAAAAACACCCCAAGGCCCGUCAAUGCUGCAGACAGAGCUAUUGACCAAUUAGGGAGCGAGUAUGAGUUUUCCCGGGAGGAUUCAUCAGACUCCAUGCCAGAGUAUUUUCUUUACUGGUCAGAGG
rnacentral:lncRNA from 1 species